rnacentral:rRNA from 1 species
CACGUAGGCACCAAGCGUUGUCCGGAUUUAUUGGGCGUAAAGAGCUCGUAGGCGGUUCAGUAAGUCGGGUGUGAAAACUUUGGGCUUAACCCAAAGCGUGCAUCCGAUACUGCUGUGACUUGAGUACGGUAGGGGAGCGGGGAAUUCCUAGUGUAGCGGUGAAAUUCGUAGAUAUUCGCAAGAACACCAGUGGCGAAGGCGGCUCACUGGCCCGGUACUGACGCUGAGGUGCGAAAGCGUGGGGAGCAAACAGG